rnacentral:rRNA from 1 species
CAAGUAGAACGCUGAAGAGAGGAGCUUGCUCUUCUUGGAUGAGUUGCGAACGGGUGAGUAACGCGUAGGUAACCUGCCUUGUAGCGGGGGAUAACUAUUGGAAACGAUAGCUAAUACCGCAUAACAAUGGAUGACACAUGUCAUUUAUUUGAAAGGGGCAAUUGCUCCACUACAAGAUGGACCUGCGUUGUAUUAGCUAGUAGGUGAGGUAAUGGCUCACCUAGGCGACGAUACAUAGCCGACCUGAGAGGGUGAUCGGCCACACUGGGACUGAGACACGGCCCAGACUCCUACGGGAGGCAGCAGUAGGGAAUCUUCGGCAAUGGGGGCAACCCUGACCGAGCAACGCCGCGUGAGUGAAGAAGGUUUUCGGAUCGUAAAGCUCUGUUGUAAGUCAAGAACGGGUGUGAGAGUGGAAAGUUCACACUGUGACGGUAGCUUACCAGAAAGGGACGGCUAACUACGUGCCAGCAGCCGCGGUAAUACGUAGGUCCCGAGCGUUGUCCGGAUUUAUUGGGCGUAAAGCGAGCGCAGGCGGUUUGAUAAGUCUGAAGUUAAAGGCUGUGGCUCAACCAUAGUUCGCUUUGGAAACUGUCAAACUUGAGUGCAGAAGGGGAGAGUGGAAUUCCAUGUGUAGCGGUGAAAUGCGUAGAUAUAUGGAGGAACACCGGUGGCGAAAGCGGCUCUCUGGUCUGUAACUGACGCUGAGGCUCGAAAGCGUGGGGAGCGAACAGGAUUAGAUACCCUGGUAGUCCACGCCGUAAACGAUGAGUGCUAGGUGUUGGAUCCUUUCCGGGAUUCAGUGCCGCAGCUAACGCAUUAAGCACUCCGCCUGGGGAGUACGACCGCAAGGUUGAAACUCAAAGGAAUUGACGGGGGCCCGCACAAGCGGUGGAGCAUGUGGUUUAAUUCGAAGCAACGCGAAGAACCUUACCAGGUCUUGACAUCCCGAUGCUAUUUCUAGAGAUAGAAAGUUACUUCGGUACAUCGGUGACAGGUGGUGCAUGGUUGUCGUCAGCUCGUGUCGUGAGAUGUUGGGUUAAGUCCCGCAACGAGCGCAACCCCUAUUGUUAGUUGCCAUCAUUCAGUUGGGCACUCUAGCGAGACUGCCGGUAAUAAACCGGAGGAAGGUGGGGAUGACGUCAAAUCAUCAUGCCCCUUAUGACCUGGGCUACACACGUGCUACAAUGGUUGGUACAACGAGUUGCGAGUCGGUGACGGCGAGCUAAUCUCUUAAAGCCAAUCUCAGUUCGGAUUGUAGGCUGCAACUCGCCUACAUGAAGUCGGAAUCGCUAGUAAUCGCGGAUCAGCACGCCGCGGUGAAUACGUUCCCGGGCCUUGUACACACCGCCCGUCACACCACGAGAGUUUGUAACACCCGAAGUCGG